UGUUAUUCCACUAUCUUAGGUUUCCUCAAAGGACAGAUCAAAACAUUUCUUCGGGUCAUCUGUAUGACAAUAUCGUAACACAUUUAAAUCCAAUCCUGAUGCAGCCAGUCAACCUUCAGGCUGGCCAUGCUGGACCUUCAAGCCAUAGGCCUCCAGCUCCGUCUAGCAAUCAACGAGCAGGGAAUGAUCUUCCGCCACCCUAUUAUUAUGAGGUAAUGGAGUUUGACCCUUUGGCUCCAGGUGCCGCUACCGAAGCUCUUUAUGAAGACAUUGAUGCUAAAUGCUAUAAACCAAUUCAGAAUCACACAAACUGUUGAAAGAUCUUUUUAGAGAAAUCCAUCAUCAUCAUACCCCUGUGAUACAGUAGAUGAAAACUAUUUUAUUACUUCUUGAAUAAAUCAUAAAACAUUUGAUAAGCUGGAACUGUAAUUCAGGAAAAAUAUUGUUUAAGUGCCUUCACUUAAUUAAAAUUGAAUGUAAAAAUAAUUUUGCACUUCUGAAAAUAUUUCUGGCUUUUACAUUUUGAGCUAGGGCAUAAAAGCAUUUAAUUAUUGUAGUUUACAUUUCAUGUUUGUAACAGUCAUUAGAAAAUAUAUAAAGUUGACUUUUUAAAUGAUUUAUAACCUUAAAAUAAAAUAUAUUCUUUUCUUUUUACUGUAAGAUGUAUCCUUUGUAGAACAAAAAUUUUGUUCAUAGUA